GCCACAGCCAUAUCACCCUGCAGCCCAAGACUGGUUGCCCACUGAAGCUAAGCAGGGUUGAGCCUGGUCAGUAUCUGGAUGGGAGACCUCCUGGGAAAACUAGGUUGCUGCUGGAA
rnacentral:rRNA from 1 species